rnacentral:lncRNA from 1 species
CGCUAUGAUCACAUUGGUCCACUAAUUUAGGAAUUUGAACAUGAUCUAAACGUGUUUUGAAAAAUCCAAAACUUGUCCGAGAAUACCUAUUGGCCUUCUUGAUCAUGAACUAAUAAAAAUACGAACCAUUAAAGGAUGUUAAGGUGGAAAAAUAAGAUUGCCAACUUUCAAAAGCCAAUAAUAGCCUGAGUCUGGGAACCUAGCUAGAAUUUUCUAAGCCUGGGACACCUUGACA